rnacentral:rRNA from 1 species
GUCUUUUUGUUUAUAAUAUAAAGUCUGACCUGCCCACUGAAUUUUUAAAGGCCGCGGUAUUUUGACCGUGCGAAGGUAGCAUAAUAAUUAGUUUUUUAAUUGAAAGCUGGAAUGAAUGGUUGAACGAGGAAGUGACUGUCUCUAUAUUAAUUUAUUAGAACUUUAUUUUUAAGUCAAAAAGCUUAAAUGAGUUUAAAAGACGAGAAGACCCUAUAGAGUUUAAUAAAAGUGUUUAUUAAGGGUAAUUAGAAUUUUUAACUUUUAAUGGCUGGUUUUAUUUUGUUGGGGCGAUAGGAAAAUUUAAAUAACUUUUCUUAAAUUUUAACAUUGAUUUAUGAGUAUAUGAUCCAUAAUUUAUGAUUAUAAGAUUAAAUUACCUUAGGGAUAACAGCGUAAUUUCUUUAAAGAGUUCUAAUCGAAAAAGAAGUUUGCGACCUCGAUGUUGGAUUAAAAUAAAUGUUUGGUGUAGAAGCUAAGCUAUUAGGUCUGUUCGACCUUUAAAAUUUU